rnacentral:rRNA from 1 species
GAUGAACGCUGGCGGCGUGCCUAAUACAUGCAAGUCGAGCGAACGGACGAGAAGCUUGCUUCUCUGAUGUUAGCGGCGGACGGGUGAGUAACACGUGGAUAACCUACCUAUAAGACUGGGAUAACUUCGGGAAACCGGAGCUAAUACCGGAUGAUAUUUUGAACCGCAUGGUUCAAAAGUGAAAGACGGUCUUGCUGUCACUUAUAGAUGGAUCCGCGCUGCAUUAGCUAGUUGGUAAGGUAACGGCUUACCAAGGCAACGAUGCAUAGCCGACCUGAGAGGGUGAUCGGCCACACUGGAACUGAGACACGGUCCAGACUCCUACGGGAGGCAGCAGUAGGGAAUCUUCCGCAAUGGGCGAAAGCCUGACGGAGCAACGCCGCGUGAGUGAUGGAGGUCUUCGGAUCGUAAAACUCUGUUAUUAGGGAAGAACAUAUGUGUAAGUAACUGUGCACAUCUUGACGAUACCUAAUCAGAAAGCCACGGCUAACUACGUG